rnacentral:rRNA from 1 species
AACGAACGCUGGCGGCAGGCCUAACACAUGCAAGUCGAUCGCUGUCUUCGGACAGAGAGGCGCACGGGUGAGUAACACGUGGGAACAUACCCUUAAGUGCGGAAUAACUAUUGGAAACGAUAGCUAAUACCGCAUACGCCCUACGGGGGAAAGAUUUAUCGCUUAAGGAUUGGCCCGCGUCUGAUUAGCUAGUUGGCGGGGUAACGGCCCACCAAGGCGACGAUCAGUAGCUGGUUUGAGAGAAUGAUCAGCCACACUGGGACUGAGACACGGCCCAGACUCCUACGGGAGGCAGCAGUGGGGAAUAUUGGACAAUGGGCGCAAGCCUGAUCCAGCCAUGCCGCGUGAGUGAAGAAGGCCUUCGGGUUGUAAAGCUCUUUCAGACGUGAAGAUGAUGACGGUAGCGUCAGAAGAAGCCCCGGCUAACUUCGUGCCAGCCGCCGCCGUAAAAC